ACUCCUACGGGAGGCAGCAGUGAGGAAUAUUGGUCAAUGGACGAGAGUCUGAACCAGCCAAGUAGCGUGAAGGAUGACUGCCCUAUGGGUUGUAAACUUCUUUUAUACGGGAAUAAAGUGGAGUAUGCAUACUCCUUUGUAUGUACCGUAUGAAUAAGGAUCGGCUAA
rnacentral:rRNA from 1 species